UACGAAGGGGGCGAGCGUUGUUCGGAUUUACUGGGCGUAAAGCGCGUGUAGGCGGCAUGACAAGUCGGGUGUGAAAGCCCUGGGCUCAACCCAGGAAGUGCACUCGAUACUGUCGUGCUAGAGUCCCGGAGAGGUGGUGGAACUCUCGGUGUAGAGGUGAAAUUCGUAGAUAUCGAGAAGAACACCGGUGGCGAAGGCGGCCACCUGGACGGUGACUGACGCUGAGACGCGAAGCGUGGGAGCGAACCGG
rnacentral:rRNA from 1 species